AGCGAACGCUGGCGGCAGGCUUAACACAUGCAAGUCGAGCGGGCAUCCUUGUGGUGUCAGCGGCAGACGGGUGAGUAACGCGUGGGAACGUGCCCUUCGGUUCGGAAUAACUCAGGGAAACUUGAGCUAAUACCGGAUACGUGCGAGAGCAGAAAGGUAUAUCUGCCGAAGGAUCGGCCCGCGUCUGAUUAGCUAGUUGGUGAGGUUACGGCACACCAAGGCGGAGAUCAGUAGCUGGUCUGAGGGGAUGAUCAGCCACACUGGGACUGAGACACGGCCCAGACUCCUGCGGGAGGCAGCAGUGGGGAAUAUUGGACAAUGGGGGCAACCCUGAUCCAGCCAUGGCGCGUGAGUGGUGACGGCCUUAGGGUUGUAAAGCUCUUUUCUCCGGGACGAUAAUGACGGUACCGGAGGAAUAAGCCCCGGCUAACUUCGUG
rnacentral:rRNA from 1 species